rnacentral:lncRNA from 1 species
CGCGCCUCGCGAUCCGGCGCCUCCUUCCUUGCCCUGGAAGUCGCAAGGAGCUCAAGCCCCGCCGUCGGUUGCCCGCGACCUCCUCCUCGUGGCUCUGCUCCGCCUCGCCCUGUUCCCAUCAAGCCGCCGCUGGCCGUCAUCCCCUUCCGCUAACGCCGUUCUGCCCAAGGUCCGGGUGAAUCCUGUCCCCUCGCAUCUCCCCGCGUCGGACCUGGCCUCCACCACCUCGCCUUCAUCCGCCUCGUCAACUCGUCAGCAAGCUGCCGCCGCGCCUGGCGUGUGCCCCGCGCUUGCUGCCUCCUGCCCGACCCCGAGUGGUCUUUGGCCGCGCCUCCUCGCUUGAUCCCUCGUGACGCCCUCGACCAAUCCGGCCCAACCGCAAGCCUCUGUGCAACCCAACCACUUCUCUGCUUCCGGCCAGAGACCCUUUUUGGUCGCGCUUUGUUUUGGGUCGGCAAGAACGAGACGCCAAGAACGGUACCCCGACCGCCAAGCAUCUUCUCCGAGAUUUUUGCCAAAGUACCACAACGACGCGUCAAGUACCUCUACCGCCGUCUUCGGAAUCGCCAAGAACGGGGUACCUCAACGCCCGAUGCCUAGAACGACUACCCUCGCCGAAGACCCCAAGUACCACCACACCGACGACAUGAACAUCUACGGAAUGUGUACGACUAUGAAACGUGUACCACUACUUCCACUACCAUCGCCGUGUACCACUAUUUCGACAACGACCCGUGAACAAUUACAUCCCAUUGAACUCGAUCCGCUUCGUAAAUGCAUGCUUCGAAGGUAUAACCCCGAGACGACGCCCGUGAACGAAUGCUUUGUUGUAUGAGAUGCCUGUGUUUGCACCGUGUCCGAGCUGUCGCUUGCACGUUCCUUUUCGUUUGCCAUGCCGUCGACCCGUGGGAACCCGGUAACCGGGAUCACCCCACCAUCUCUAGCUUGUUCUGCAUCUUGCACACUUGCUCUUUUUUGCACUAGUAUCUCAAUGAGUUGUCGGAUCAAUGGAAUGUUGCCGUGGCACCAAUUCUGUUGUCGUUGCCGUGGCACCUCUUUCGUUUCCGCCACGAUGACAAAUGCUUCAUAAUAUGCGCAUGUUGACAUUUUCUAAAAAAUUGCAUAUAACUUGCAUAUGUCAUCCGCAUCAUGAUAACAACAUUUAAAUGCUUAAAAAUUGUUGCUCGCAUUAAAAUUGCUAAAUGACAUAUGUGGAUUUUUUGGAAUUGUUGUUUGUUAUUUUCGGCCUCAUUUAAACUUUCCUAAAUAGAUAGUUUCUUUAUGCUUCACCCCUUGCCAUGUUUAAUAACAUUUAAUAUUGUUGGAUACAUAAACGAAAGCAAACUAAAUAAUUCGAAUGUGGUGUUUCGUCAAUAUGAAGUUCGUUGCAUAUUGGGCUCCACUUAACUUGUAGUAUUGUAUGUGCACUUUGCCAUGCCUUGCCUCAUUAAAUGGACAUGCAUCAUACUUGAUUGUGCAUCAAGCCAUAUUUAUGUGAUGGUUGUUUACCAUGUUGUUUGCUUCUUUCCGGUGUUGCUUGUUCUUGAUAGUUCCUGGUUUCGUUGCGAUUGUGAGGAUCCGUUCGACUAUGUUGUUUGACUACAUCAUGGAUUCGGUCUUCUUCCUAGCGAAAUUUCAGGCAAGAUGACCGUCACCUUGAAUCUCACUACUAUCUUUGCUAUGCUAGUUGUCUCGAGGCUAUCGCUAUGUCGCGCUACCUACCACUUGUUUAUCAAGCCUCCCAAAUUGCCAUGAAAGCCUCUAACCUUUUACCUUCCAAGCAAAUCGUUGUUUGGCUAUGUUAUCGCUUUGCUCAGCCCCUUUUAUACGUUGCUAGUUGCAGGUGCAUUUGCAGGUUGUUCCAUGUUGAGUCAUGGAUAUCUUGGGAUAUCACAAUAUCUUUUAUUUAAUUAAUGCAUCUAUAUACUUGGUAAAGGGUGGAAGGCCCGACCUUAUGCCUGGUGUUUUGUUCUACUCUUGCCUCCCUAGUUUCCGUCAUACCGGUGUUAUGUUCCUUGAUUUUGCGUCCCUAACACGGUGAGGGGUAUGGGGCCCUCUUGACAGUUCUCUUUGAAUAAAACUCUUCCAGCAAGGCCCAACAUUGGUUUUAACAUUUGCCAUCAUAAUACUUGAACCUAAAUAAUUAAUUGACAUAGGGCGUCAUGAACCCGAGGAUUCUUUUCUACAUACAGUGAGGGGCCAGUGCUGAUGGUGUUGGUCCCAAACUAGAGCACCGUGUGGGACCGCCCCUAGGCAACUUGGAGUAUCUGGAUCCUGUACACUUCGCUUAUCCAGUUGUGUCCUGAGACGAGAUACGCGCGGCUACUAUCAGGGUGUCGACAGACCGGGAGGUCUUGCUGGAUUAGUUUUACCAUUGUCGAAAUGUCUUGUGCAUUGGGAUUCCGAGUCUGAUCAGAUGUCCCGCGAUGGAGGAUUGUCUCCGCGGAUCGUAAGCUUGUCAUGGGCUAAGUUGGGACACCCGUACAGGGUUUAAACUUUCGAAAGCCGUGCCCGCGGUUAUGUGGAAGAUGGAAAUUUGUUAAUAUUCGGUUGUAGAAGACUUGAAAUAACUCAAUUAAAAUACACCAAUCGCGUUGCGUAACCGUGACUGUCUCUUUUCGGGGAAGUUCGAGAGGAGAACACGGUUGAGUUAUGUUUGAACGUAAGUAGUUCAGGAUCACAUAUUGAUCAUUGCUAGUUUGCGACCGUUUGCGUAGUUUCUCAUCUUAUUCUUGUACUCGUAAGUUAGCCACGAUACAUGCUUAGUUGCUUGCUGCAACCUCACCACUUAUCCUCCCUUACCCAUAAGCUUUGCUAGUCUUGAUACUCAUGGUAAUGGGAUUGCUGAGUCCUCGUGACUCACAGGUUACUACAACAACAGUUGCAGGUACAGAUAUUGCGAUGAUCAUGACGUGAGAGCGAUGUUUACAUGUUUUGGAGUUCUUCUUCUUCGUCGAUCUUGGGUUAGGUUCCUGGUCGGCAGCCUGGGCUAGCACGGUGGAUGUCGUUUGAGUUUCUGUUUGUGCUUCAUCCAUAGUCGGAUGUUGUUCUCAUGUAUGUUGUAUUGAUGUAUUCUUGCGGCAUUUGUAUGACUUGUAUGUAUCCCCAACCAUUUAUAUAAUGGUAUGAUGUAAUGAUAUCCAUCUUGCAAAAGUGUCUCCAAUAUGCG